rnacentral:misc_RNA from 1 species
ACCAAGAUUAAUAUUUAGUAUGUUUGAUAUGAAUAUGUACACAAUUGAUCCUUUGAUUUCUCAGCCUUCAGAUCCAAUGUCUUUCUGUCCGAAAUUUUCAUACCCACAGCCACAUCCUAACCCUGUUUCCCCAGCUACACCACCAUCAACACUUCCAUAUCCACCUACUCCCUCAAUGCCUCAUUUCCCCUAUUUGGAUGCUUCAGCUUGCCCACAUCAGAGCUGGAUGAUGCCAGAAUACCGCUGCUACUGGAAAGUAAUAAAUCCAGAUUUAAAAGUAGGUGUUGUAUUUGGCCUAAUUGCAGCUAGAAAAUAUGGAACUGAUAUGACAUUAUGGGAGGGAAUGCAAGGUAGAGGAGAACCUUAUAAAACUUUGUUAAGAGAAGGGACAACUGCACUUUUGAAUUCUUAUAACAGUGUACAAUUUCCAUAUCAUCCAUUGAGUGUUGUUCAACAUAUGAAUUGGGCAUUAAUGGGAUCA